ensembl:misc_RNA Vault Vault RNA
GGGCUGGCUUUAGCUCAGCUGUUCCUUCUUCCUGUCAAGUCUUCGCUAGCCAACCACUCUUGCUUGCCAGGGUGGUUCCAGACCAGGGGCACCCUCCAAGCCCUUUA